UCCCCUCUUUGGCGUACCGCCCGCUCGUUGCUCUCUUUUAUCCGCUCCCCAGAGAAAGAGAGAGAGAGAGAGCGCGAGCGAGCGACCAAACCCUAAUUUCUCUCCCCUUCCCUUCAUGUUUCUUCUCUGGCCAUUGGAGAGCGAGGAGGAAUUCGCGCCACUCCCGUCGAUCCUGAGCUGCUCGCUAUGGCGGAGCCCCUCCGGCGAAGGUUCGUGAUAGGGUACGCCCUCGCGCCCAAGAAGCAGCAGAGCUUCAUACAGCCGUCGCUCGUUGGCCUCGCCGCCGAUCGCGGCAUCGAUCUCGUCCCCAUCGACCCCUGCCGUGCCCUCGCCGACCAGGGGCCCUUUGACUGCAUCAUCCAUAAGCUCUAUGGCGACGACUGGAAGGCCCAGCUCCAGGACUUCGCUGCCCGGUACCCCGACGUCCCUGUCAUUGAUUCUCCCCAUGCCAUCGAGCGCCUCCACAACCGCAUUUCCAUGCUCCAGGUCGUCUCCGAGCUUGAGAUCCCGCAGCACCAGGAGACCUUCGGGAUCCCCAGCCAGGUCGUGAUCUACGAUUCCGGCGCCCUGUCCAACUCCGGCGUUGUCGGCGCCCUCCACUUCCCAGUCAUUGCCAAGCCCCUCGUUGCUGAUGGCAGCGCCAAGUCGCACAAGAUGUCCCUCGUCUACCACCGCGACGGCCUUCUUAUACUCAAGCCGCCACUAGUCCUCCAGGAAUUCGUCAACCAUGGUGGGGUCAUCUUCAAGGUGUACGUUGUCGGGGACUACGUUAAGUGCGUCAAAAGGAAGUCCCUCCCGGAUGUCUCCGAGGAGAAGCUGGAGUGCACUGAGGGGUCGAUGUCCUUCUCCCAGGUGUCCAACAUGACAUCGCAGGACCGGACUGAGGAGCAGUACUAUGAGUCGAUGCACUUGGAGGAGGCUGAGAUGCCACCGCUGAGCUUCGUCACAGAGAUCGCCCGGGGGCUGAGGCGGGUUAUGGGGCUACACCUUUUCAAUUUUGAUGUGAUCAGAGAUGUGAAGGUCGGAAACCGGUAUCUCAUCAUUGACAUUAACUAUUUUCCUGGGUAUGCUAAAAUGCCGUCCUAUGAAACAGUUUUGACAGAGUUCUUUUGGAAUAUCAUUAAUAAAAAGAAGGAAGAUGAUGGAUCCAAUGCAGCUCCGAACAAGGAAGAGGAUGGAGCAAAUGCAGUUCCAAAGGAUGUUGAUAACGAAAUAGAGAAUUUGGCUGGGGAUUUCUACAAUACUGUGGGAGAAGUGGAGAAUGCAGGCUGAGAUCUGAAAAUUUGCAGUAAUGUUGUUUUUGUCGAGCACUCAAAAGGCACUCUUUGCACUAUUCUGCCAUUUUCAGAUGAUCAGAGCUCAAGUCAUCGUAUCUGGCUGAAUAAGUAGGUUGGGAAGUUUGAGGUUUCUAACUUCCAGAUGGGUUCAUUUGGUAUCUCAUGCAGACAAUGUACGUCCUUCCUUUUGGAGCAAUAAUUAGGUUUGCCAUUACUUUAAUUCCUUUUCCUGAAAUGCAUAUGAGGUGGAUGAAUUGAACAACAACUGCUUUGUCGUAUGCUCUACGUGACCAUUUUGAAGAACUCUUUUUUUGGCAAGUGUGACACUGAAUGCUGGAUCACUUGUUCAGAUUAAGAUUUCCAUAUGACGUGUUUAAGAAACACAUGCGGAAAGCAAGCAACUGAUCCCUAUCAUGUUUGACUAUAUGCAUCUUCCCUUUUUAUAUUAGCUUUCAUGGAAAGUCAAGUUUGUCAAAUUGACAGAUCUUGUUAAGUCUUUUAUGACUGCUGCCAUCCUAACUGUUGGUAUGCACUGGUAUGACUGCUAUGGCUGGUGCACAUUGUUACACAUGAUUUGGGUAUCCUGGUACCUGUACUAAUGCCGGUUUCACAUUGGUUUCCAUACCGGCAGUUUUGAAUUCUUGUUUGUAAUGCAAUUUUGAGGAGUCACCCAUCAAUACAUCAAUGAAUGAUUUGAAGUCCUAUAGAAGAAGAUGCAAGAACCACAUAUUUGAUUAGUAUGACAUGCAAGGAAAUUGGAUGGCUACCUUGACAAGUUGGUCUUGGCAAUAGAAUCAUUCAAAAGGAGGUCAUCUAGCUCCAGUGAUGAGUAGACAUAUGCAUUCAUUGUAGCUCAUAACCCUCAAUUAAUUAUUUUCUCUAUUAAUUCUCAAAGGAGUUAUGUGCAGAGGGUGUAUCCUAGGGUUUUCUAUCAGUCAAAUUAUAUAGUUGUAAGGGUGAUCAUUCAGCAAUAUUAGUGCAUUGUGAGAUAGAUAUAUGGAUUUAUUGUAGCUUAUAAUAAAUGGAAUUAUAAUAUCAGAAUCAGAGGAUUUCAUGAUUCUGAAUUUGAGAGUUUAGGGCAACAAAUUUAUUGUUCUUGAUCUAGUAUCUCUUGUAGCUCACCAUCAUGGCCCUUAAAAAUUUGAAUUUGCGGGUAUGAAUCAUAAUAUAUGUGCGAACCAAAUAAUUUGGAGGUUGAUGUGAGGGCCAGUGAAUCUAAAUGUUUCACUUUUGUGAGUGGAUGAAAUGCAGGAAUUCCUGCUA